UACAGAGGGUGCGAGCGUUAAUCGGAAUUACUGGGCGUAAAGCGUGCGUAGACGGUUAUUUAAGUCGGGUGUGAAAGCCCCGGGCUCAACCUGGGAAUUGCAUUCGAGACUGAAUAGCUAGGGUACGGUAGAGGGAAGUGGGAUUUCCGGUGUAGCGGUGAAAUGCGUAGAUAUCGGAAGGAACAUCAGUGGCGAAAGCGACUUCCUGGACCAGUACCGACGUUCAGGCACGAAAGCGUGGGGAGCAAACAGG
rnacentral:rRNA from 1 species